GAAGGGUGCAAGCGUUACUCGGAAUUACUGGGCGUAAAGCGUGCGUAGGUGGUUUGUUAAGUCUGAUGUGAAAGCCCUGGGCUCAACCUGGGAAUGGCAUUGGAAACUGGCUGACUAGAGUGCGGUAGAGGGUAGUGGAAUUCCCGGUGUAGCAGUGAAAUGCGUAGAUAUCGGGAGGAACAUCUGUGGCGAAGGCGACUACCUGGACCAGCACUGACACUGAGGCACGAAAGCGUGGGGAGCAAACAGGAUUAGAUACCCUGGUAGUCCACGCCCUAAACGAUGCGAACUGGAUGUUGGGAGCAACUUGGCUCUCAGUAUCGAAGCUAACGCGUUAAGUUCGCCGCCUGGGAAGUACGGUCGCAAGACUG
rnacentral:rRNA from 1 species